UGAGCUGGAGCUCACUCUGGCCUCACCCCACCGCAGCACCUGCCUCAUUCCUGCCCAGCCGGUGGCAUUAAACAUUUAUGGAGCUGUGGAGGAUCAAAGGCCUCGGCUGGGGGUGGUGGGCAGGCUGGAGGCCUCUGUUUGGAGAUGGAAAGUAGCUCACAUCAAACCACUUUCUGCUGCUGUCUCCAUCUACCCUGAGCUCUUCCUGCAGUCAAUCCUGGAGCAAGAGCAAAUGCCUGGAGCCAGGACUCUCCAUUUAUCAGAGCAGGGCCCUCCUCCUGCCCCUAAAUUCAAUGGGUUGACUUUGGGUAAUGCAGGGAGCCCUGGCUGGAGCACUGGCAUCCCUGACUGUUCCAGGAGCUGCAAGGUCUGGAAUCCUGCUCCAUGAAGUGGGUUGAGAAAGCAAGUGUCAUCUCAGCAGAGACUUCAAAAUAAGUCACCAAUGUGCCUGUGAUCCUACAGAUUGAUGGGCUGUUUGGAACUGGGGAAGUAAAGCUGGCUUCUCCAGCUUCAAUGG
ensembl:lncRNA novel transcript, antisense to PIPOX